GCACGCCGUAUGAUAGGAAACUGUCAUGUACGGUGUAGGACGGGGGAAAAUCUGGAGAUUACAUCAAAAAAUUACCUAUCGUCAU
rnacentral:ncRNA from 1 species